UCCCGUCGAUUCUGUUUUCUCAAAAAGAAAAAAUCUAAUCCCGAUCGAGGCGCAGCGGAGCGACCGCAUCGAAUCCAUCCACUCCGGAUUCGAGGCGCAGAGAGGAGCCGAUCGAUCCAGUCCGGAUUCGAGCACCGCUACGGCCGAGGUGAGGGAUGGAUCGAGUCCAUUCGUGCGCUGGGAUCAAGCGAAGGAUUCGGAUGCAACCGAUGCGCUCGAGCGUCGACAGUGUCAAGCGGAGGCAGGUGAUUCGGGUCCAGCCGAGGCGCCCUAGCGCACAAUGGGAUCGAGUGCAGAACCGCCGGCGGCACAAGGAUUAAGGCCGAUGGUCUUCAUCGAGUAACAGUUCAUCGAGGUGGCGAUGCCGAUCGAGAGAGCCUUAGUUAUGGUGUAGGCGGGCGAUUAGUAUAAGGAGGCGGUGCAAACGGCUCAAGGAUACAAAGGUGGAUGCACAGGAUGAAGCGACGGUGGCUCGCUGGUGCGAGAGGAGGAGGCGGGGGCGACCACUACACUAGCAACCUCGUCGGCGCAAGAGUAACAGUACACAUCGAAAAGCGCCUAGGUAGGACGGUAAUGUCGACGAUGCAAGGAGGAAGAGGAUAUUUGUGCCGCUCUUUCUUACCAUGACUGUAUUCUUGGUUCAUUUACAUAUAUGUAUGUGCUCGUAUUUCCCAAAUGAUGACUACAAUUCUUGCAUUUUUUUUUUGCCAUGAUGGUUUAUGUUUGGCUCUCGAGUCUCAUAUCUGUAGUUUCAGUGUAGCAGUUCAUAUUGGUAUCAGCUUUAGCCAUUACGACUGUAGUUUGCAUUAGUGCUUAGCAAUGCUUCAAAUAUCUGACGCCCUCCCCAUGCUGCCUCGCUUCAUUUGCUGCAACUGAGAGGUAUCCGUGGCGGUCGAGCUCCAUCCCAGCGUAGCGCUCUCACGCUUCCACUCCGCCCGACAGCAAUGUAGGAAUAAUUGGUGAGCAUGAAGAUCCUUCGUUGCUACAUCUAUUCCUACCCUAGCUGUCCAUUGAUUUGGAAGCUACGUGAUGGCUGUUCAACAACCUGGCAAUCAGGCAGUAUCGCCACCGCCCGGCGCCAAUGCGCCACGCAAAUUCUCCCUCCCACCUCCUCCUGGCCCAACCUGUUGUCUCACUCGUGCGCCGGCUCCUGAUCCCUUCAUUGCCCAGGGCUACGGCUCCCGCUAGGGAACGCUGUUUUACUGGCAAAGUGCAUGAAGGAAAUUGUCUGCGGAUGUGCUGUCAGUACUUGUUGUCAUUUGAAUUCUGUAUGGUGUGCUGCUGUUUUGUAAUUUUGGUAGUGGCUAAAAGUUCCAAUUCUGCAUUAAGUGUGUUAUGCAGGGGAAGGCCAAGGUUGACAAUACUCGGGCAUGCUGGUGUGAAUGUCAUGCUCUUAUUCAUUUGUUGAGGUCAAAAGACAAUGGUUGGAGGAAAUAAAUAACAUACAGUCGCCUUAGGUGGAGGUUUCUGUAGUGGUUAUGAUAUGAUGUCCGAAAAGAAUGAAAUUUCUCUUCUCCCCUUUUAUAUCAGGCAGUUAUAUAUCUGUAGUGAAUUGUAUUUUCAUGCAAUUUCUCGAUUACUAGAUAUUGCACUCUUGAAGUUUAACCUGGCACACUUUGCUCUUGACCUUGGAAUAUAUGUCUUCCUGCUUAAUUCCUUAUUUUGACCUACCUACAUAUACUUUAUGCCUUGCUUUGGAAACUAGCCAUGGCGCGAAAGAAUAAAAACUGUCACCCAAGUGGUGGUCAUGAAGGCGGGAUAGGUUCUGGUGCAUCAAGUACAGUCUCACACUGGAUUCCUGAAGUCCAAAAAAUUGUUCCCGGCGAAAGCUUUAAGCGCCCGAGAUUUGUUUCCGCUGGUGAAAGCAAUAGUGUGAAGGCAAACUAUUUUACACUAUUCACUUAUAAUGAAACUCUUUGCCGAUAUCAUGUAUUUAUACAUCCUAAGCCUACUUCAUCUGGCAUCAAUUGUCAUGAUACAAUUUGCAAGGCUGUAUGGGCAAUCAUGUUUGGGUGGGCGACUUCCUGCAUGCAUAUGAUGGAAAUAAAAGCUUAUAUACAUCUUGUCCAUUUCCAUUUACUUAUGAGGCUUUUGAAUUAGCACUACUUGAUCAGGAAGACAGUCUUCAUGUUGGGCAAGUCAGAGAUGUAUGAUAUUCUGGACAUAUCAAUAACCCUGUUCUAAUUAAUUGCUUACUGAUGUUGCUGCUCUCUGAAGGCGUGAGAUAAAAUUUUGGAUCAUGAUAACAUUAGAUAAAGUUUUGUCCGGACGAAUUGAUAGUGAAGAAAUCUCUCAAGCAGUUAACACUGAACAUUCUUUCCAAGAACCAAAUUAGUCUCCUCUACACCAUAGCACCAUGUCAUUGCCUUCUACUCCUGGGAACAGCUCUGGUUAUUUUUGCAAGGCAUGGUGAAGCAAUGAGGAAAUAUAACAAUGUGUGAGUUGAUAAUGUCUAUGAAAAUAGAAUUACUUGAUACUUACUUUGCUAAGAGGUAUGUUUCGUUGGCUGCAUCAAUUGUAAAUUCAGUAGAAAACUGAAUAUCUGCUUUUGCAUGUCUGCUAGAAUUGUGCACAACUUGCUGGUCUUACGUGAUGUUAAAUGUUAAAGGUGGUGAAACUAUAAUAAUUUUCUGUAACCAAUACCCAAUUUCUUAUCAUUUAAUCGACAAAAAGGACGGACGCUGCAACGCGCGCCAUCCAUGAUCUAGUAUAUUCUAAA